CAUAGACAGAGACACCACAUCAGCAGACAUACAUACGUCUACAUAUUGGUUGGUGUUUCAAGCUGUUUCUUACAUGCAGCACAGGCGCCCCCUGCUGGGCCUAGGCAUCCCUUUAAAUCCCCUCUAGUCUCAGUCAGGUUCUUUAGGUUGAACUCGUAUGUUAGUAAAGUCAAUAUCUCUCAGGUGACCGUCUCCAUGCGCAACUUUGAAUUUGUCGACUAACUACGUUAUUACUAAUAUUUAAUUUGGGUCAGUCUUUCAUCAGACCUUCUUUUUAUAAAAUACGAAGUAAUGUGGGGCUACAUUAUGAAGGGGAAAUUUGAAAGAUGGUAAAAUGGCAGGGACGAAGUUCAAUCAGUCAUUUUCCAUGCCGAUUACGUCAUGGAAAAUGGAGGAACAAAUCAGACGAAGGGAUGAAGCCAGAAGCGGGAACACUGGUCCACUCAUGAAAUAGCGUCAGACAAACAUGUUUGGUAGGAAAGAUAUAUGGAGCUAUCUUUGCUAUUAACGACAACGAAAACAAGUCACACUGCUAACCAUAAGGGACGACAAUUCUAGAAAUUUACAGGACAAAUUUGAAUCGUCGUGCGCAGACACGUCAUCCUAAGAUGAACGCAAUGGUAAAAUGGGAUGUAAUAAAGAGGAAGGAAGUUCCAAAGAAGAACCAGAUGAGGUCUCUCCGCACAAACACAGUGAGAUAAAGAACACCAUGUGAUGAUCCGUACAGCAUGACAUAAUAAGGCCCCAGUGUUUCCUGGAGACGGGUCUCCCAUUCUCUUCUACACACACACACACACACACACACA